UGAGGGAUAUUGGUCAAUGGGCGCAAGCCUGAACCAGCGACGCCGCGUGGGUGAAGAAGGUCUUCGGAUCGUAAAGCCCUUUUCCCACUGAAGAGGAAGGACGGUAGGUGGGGAAGAAGUCUCGGCUAACUACGUGCCAGCAGCCGCGGUAAAACGUAGGAGACAAGCGUUAUCCGGAGUUACUGGGCGUAAAGGGCGUGCAGGUGGCGCCUUAAGUCUGUUGUGAAAGCGCCUGGCUUAACCGGGCGAGGCCAAUGGAGACUGAGAGGCUGGAGGACGGCGGAGGGGUGUGGAAUUCCGGGUGUAGUGGUGAAAUGCGUAGAGAUCCGGAGGAACACCAGAGGCGAAGGCGGCACUCUAAGCCGUACCUGACACUGAGACGCGACAGCACGGGGAGCAAACG
rnacentral:rRNA from 1 species